CGAGUGGCGAACGGGUGAGUAACGCGUGAGGAACCUGCCUCAAAGAGGGGGACAACAGUUGGAAACGACUGCUAAUACCGCAUAAGCCCACGACCCGGCAUCGGGUAGAGGGAAAAGGAGCAAUCCGCUUUGAGAUGGCCUCGCGUCCGAUUAGCUAGUUGGUGAGGUAACGGCCCACCAAGGCAACGAUCGGUAGCCGGACUGAGAGGUUGAACGGCCACAUUGGGACUGAGACACGGCCCAG
rnacentral:rRNA from 1 species